UGCGAAUGGCUCAUUAAAUCAGUUAUCGUUUAUUUGAUAGUACCUUACUACUUGGAUAACCGUGGUAAUUCUAGAGCUAAUACAUGCUAAAAACCCCGACUUCGGGAGGGGUGUAUUUAUUAGAUAAAAAACCAAUGCCCUUCGGGGCUCUUUGGUGAUUCAUGAUAACUUAACGGAUCGCAUGGCCUUGCGCCGGCGACGGUUCAUUCAAAUUUCUGCCCUAUCAACUUUCGAUGGUAAGGUAUUGGCUUACCAUGGUUUCAACGGGUAACGGGGAAUUAGGGUUCGAUUCCGGAGAGGGAGCCUGAGAAACGGCUACCACAUCCAAGGAAGGCAGCAGGCGCGCAAAUUACCCAAUCCCGACUCGGGGAGGUAGUGACAAUAAAUACUGAUACAGGGCUCUUUUGGGUCUUGUAAUCGGAAUGAGUACAAUUUAAACCCCUUAACGAGGAACAAUUGGAGGGCAAGUCUGGUGCCAGCAGCCGCGGUAAUUCCAGCUCCAAUAGCGUAUAUUAAAGUUGUUGCAGUUAAAAAGCUCGUAGUUGAACCUUGGGCCUGGCUGGCCGGUCCGCCUCACCGCGUGUACUGGUCCGGCCGGGCCUUUCCUUCUGGAGAGCCGCAUGCCCUUCACUGGGUGUGUUGGGGAACCAGGACUUUUACUUUGAAAAAAUUAGAGUGUUCAAAGCAGGCCUUUGCUCGAAUACGUUAGCAUGGAAUAAUAGAAUAGGACGUGCGGUCCUAUUUUGUUGGUUUCUAGGACCGCCGUAAUGAUUAAUAGGGAUAGUCGGGGGCAUCAGUAUUCAAUUGUCAGAGGUGAAAUUCUUGGAUUUAUUGAAGACUAACUACUGCGAAAGCAUUUGCCAAGGAUGUUUUCAUUAAUCAGUGAAC
rnacentral:rRNA from 1 species